rnacentral:tRNA from 2 species
UGGCCUGUCGGUUAAUCGGCAAACCGUGGGACUGUUAAUCCCUGACUCCUGGUUCGAGUCCAGGUAGGCCAGC